AAAAAGGGAAAAUGGCGAUGGUCAAGAACCCAAGAUUCCAUAUAGUCAUGUAUCCAUGGUCUGCUUUUGGUCAUAUGAUUCCCUACCUCCAUCUCUCUAACGAGCUCGCUGAAAGAGGCCACAGCAUCACCUUCAUCUUGCCCAAAAAGGUUCAAUCUCAGCUACAGCACUUGAAUCUUCAUCCUACUCUCAUCUCUUUCCAUUCCCUCACCAUCCCCUAUGUUGAUGGCCUCCCUCCCGGCGCUGAAACUGCUUCCGAUGUGCCCAUCUCCCUGCAUCACCUUCUCGCCACCGCCAUGGACCGCACCACUGACCAAGUUGAAGCAGCCCUACGUGCCUUGAAGUCGGACUUUUUGUUCUAUGAUACAGCCUAUUGGGCUCCCCCUUUGGCAUCCAAAUUAGGUAUGAAGCCAAUAUUCUACAGUGCAGUUAGUGUCGCAGCCAUGAGGUUCCGCGCAGUGAGUAGCGUCACAUACUGCCUCUCUGCGGCAGUAAUCUCGAACACCUUGUUCAAACGAACAAAAGACGUUUUUUCUACCCACUCAACUACGUGGCCCCUCUUGUCCGAACCUGCAUUAUCAAAAAACCAAAAAUAAUUAUGUCAUCUAAUAAAACCAGCAAGAAAGACAACAAAGAUAAAUGCCGGACAAAACACGUAAAGCUGACGUACCCGGAAGCACCAGUGAGUAGUUUGGAGAAAAAGGUCUCUCCGGAUGCUCCAAUAGCCCCGCUCAGGCACCCCAGACCACCACAUAUCCCUUCGCCCCUCCAUUGUUUAAUCCGGCAGCUCAGUCACCAAUUGGAGCAAAGGCAGAUGGGCCGCCAUACUGAAGAUAUCAUUUUUUCCCUUCUUCAGGGAAUAAACAAAAAGGACCUCCAGCAGCAAUAGGUCAAGGUUGAACAGCAUGUUAAGAAUGCUGCAUCCCAUCAACACCCGGACUGUAUUAGGGUGGAUGAAGGCUGGUGGGAUCUAGGUAAAACGGAGGAACUCAUUGAACAACACCGGGAGAGGGAACCGGAGCCCGACAUUGAAUUGCUCCUUUGAGAAGGUGAUGGCAAGACCUUCAGCUUUCUCGGUGGACACAACCUCCUCCUCAUCCAGAAAUUCCACAAGCACGCCAUUUGGAAUGUAGAAACAAUCCCGGAACUCCUUUACACUCAGCUUAUCUACGGGUUUCUCAGGAGCAUCACCGGCCGGACCAGACGAAACAACUUCCUUGUUUGCAGACAUUUUCUAGCCCAAGAUUGGAAUGGAAACUGCAUAAAAAGUACCAACAGUAAAAAACAAACAGAAACUCUCAGAAAAACCUCACACCACCACUAUACCCAUCCCACAAAUCCUUGACUCUACCCCAACGAGAAAACCCCCAACCCACACAAAAACACAGGGGGGCAACAAAAACCCUUAAACACAGUCAAACCCUCGCAAACAACUGACACAACACCCAGUCACAACAACACUCGCCCAAACAAACCAACAACACCAAAGCACAGAAAGCAAGAGAACAAGGCACAAAAAAUACGUACCAAGUGUAAAAGGAAGGCAAAGGUUGCAAAUCGCAAGGCAAACACCGUCAGAACGCAACAAAUCACCGUCAGAAAAUUCUAGGGUUUCACUCGGGAAAAGCGAAGGUAUGCAGAAGGUAGAAGAAGAAAGCACUCUCAGAAAAACGCAGUAGGAAAAAUGCAACAGUGGGCACAGUAUGCUAUUUAUAGGGAGACAACUCCUCGGUAUACCGAACGAUCAACUACGUUAUCAUUGAAACGACAUGCUACCUGAGAAUACACAGAGACGACGGCUCAUCAUAAAUGCUCCUCUCUCUCUUCACCCUCGUUCACCACGUGGCCUAAUGAGCGCAAAAAAGUAGCCUCAGUUUCAAAAUAUCAAUUAUUUUUAACCCGCCCAUUUUGCACGGGCAAAAAUGGGCAAGUUAAAAAGAGGGGCACUGUAGGGACCCCUCCUCCUGAGAACACGUGUCACGCAUCUCAUGGUGACACGUGGCACGCAUUACCAUCCGGAUCACCCCCAUCCGGAUACACGUGACGCGCCUCUCAUAUUCGGACUACCUCAAGGAAGUUCAAACGACACUUAUAAACAUAAGACAUCCAGACGACUUCCACCUUAUAUCCGGACUGCCUCAAGGAAGUUCAAACGAUACUUAUAAACAUAAAACAUCCGGACGACUUCCACCUCAUAUCCGGACUGCCUCAAGGAAGUUCAAACGACACUUGUAAGCAUAGAACAUCCGGACGGCUUCCACAAAUACAUCCGGAUGACCAGCAUAAGCCAUCCGAAUAUAAUUGUUCGGGUCAUUGACUGAAGUAAGCAAGUCUUACACGUUAUCACAAACAGUCUGUCAUGACCCACGUCCGCCACCUGCAGAGUGAAGGGAUAAGAUGAAGUGACAACAAGUCAUUUCCCACGAUCAUUUCACAUGAUCACCUACCACGAUCUCUGACAGUCGCAUCACCUACCACGAUCUCUGUCAAACUGCCCGUAGGGUGAUGAUGGCCCUGCCACCACCUAGUGUCAUCAUGACAACACAAAAUAUCUCCCCACCAUUAAAGAGGGAAUCAAAGCUUCUGAUACUAUAUAUAUCAACCUUCACACAAAGAGGAAGGUAAGCUUGCUAAACCUAAUAAAAGGUCAACUGAUUUAUCUCUCUCUCUCUGACCAUGGCUAACAAAACCAUCGGAGGGUGCAUCCGGACACCCCGUCCGGACGCCUUUUGCAAGUGGAACGACUGAAUCAAGAACCUAUAUUGGUUGAGAUCAUGCGUCCAUCCAUUGGGCAACCACGUGGAUCACCAGGGACGCGAGCCCUCAACACACCAGCCAUUGACCUCAACCUUGUCCCAACUUGCAGUUAGCAGAGACAGGGCCUAUCACAGCUGAGCCACCCCUGGUUACCCCUCCUCAAAGGAGGUGUUCAGACCCCAUGAAGCUCGGUUAUUGCACUUCAUAUCAGCAUCAUUUGGGGAACGUCUCACCUUCCACGAGUGCAUUAUCACUGCCAUGAAACACUGCAAUGCAGUCUCUAUAAGAAUAUGUCAAGAAAUUGAAGGACCCUUUUGUGACUAUGCUGCAAGUCAGUAUGCAAAGCCAGUGUUCCUAACAGGUCCAGUCUUGCCUGAGCCUUCACUGACACCAUUGGAAAGGUGGGCACAUUGAGAUAUAGUAUUAUUCCUAGGGAGAACAUAGAUAGUAUAGACUUGUUAACCUAAAUGCGCUUUUACUUGUUGGAUCAGGUUUUGACCAUCUCAUCUCAAAACCAAUUGGAGUCUAGUAAAGGUAGGUCAAACCUUUUAUAACAUUCAACAUCACCCCACGAGCCUAUUAUAAGAACCAUUAUUCAACAUCAUCUUAAGAGCGGCAUUGUUGUACCCCAACAUUAAUGAUAACAGAACUGCUGAAUGAAGAGUCAGCAGGCCCAUUUAUUAGAAAAAGUGGAGGAAGACCAAAGUUUCUAAACUAAAAUCAGGAGAACCAGAGAAAGACUUGAAGUCAGUCUUCAAAUACAAGAAAUUCUAAUGAAUUCUAAUCAACCGUGUGCUGCCGAAUUCUUAGCGCAUUUUUCACAACAAUAUAAAUGAACCAAAAGUUUUCCCUCAACCUCAAUCAUGUUCUUGGAAGAAGAAAAAGAAAACAGAUGGAUACAUUGAUCACCUGAAAUGAAAUUAUUUUACAGAUAUGAAACAAAGCAAAGGCAAAAAAGGAAAACCAAUUCAAGUACAUUAAGAUGAUAUACUGUCAUGAACUUAAAUCUCAAAUGAAGAAAAAUACUACCAGCUGAAAAAUAAAAACUAUGAAAAAGCUAAGCUUAUGAUCCAUUUGACUCAAAGAUGCAAUUCCUGGGAAACAAACAGGCAGUGAAGCAUUUGCACUCCAUAAGGGAACCAAUGACCAAAAAUUGUGACAUACAAACACAAUGGAGUAUUUAACGAAGGCAUUUAACAUAUGAAGCCAGUAAAUAUUUAUAUAUAGUUCCAAUAAAAUCAACCAAAGGAAAAACCCCAAAUGAUACUUACAAGGUGCAGAUUUCGACCCAGAGAGUCAAAAGCUUUGGAGGACUGUGUAGCAAGAAAAGGAAAAAAUAAAGCAAUGCCCUUAAAUGGAAGAAUGGCAGUUCCCAUUCGUGAAUUCAUCUACUAAAAAGUGUGGCCCUCAUGUCAAUAAUCAUUGCCAUUAUCUAGUGGUAGACUGGUAGCUGCACUUCCAUUAUUAUGGAAGAGAGACUCCGGCCGGGUAGGGAAAGGUAAAGGUGUAAAAAGCGUACAGCAUAGCUUUCAUGUAGACUGCGUUCUUUACACUUUACAGCUCCUCUUGUGUUUGGACCAUGGCAAAAAGUGUACUAUUUAUGUUACGUUGCAACCACAGUACAAAAAUUUAGCUCUAUUCAAAAACCUAGGCAUUAAAAUGUGUUUUAACAAUUAGGUGGUGUUACAUAUGUAUUUUUAAGUCUAUUUUUUGUAUCAUAAUUUAAUUUAUUUAUACCUUUAUACUUUGAUUUAUUUGUUUGUAUUCUGAUUUGAUGAUUUGGGUCUCAUCAUUUAUAUUCAACAAUUCUAAUUUGAAGUUUUGUGGAUACCAAUACAAUACAUUAAUGUAUGAUUUUUUUUGAAGUAUCAUUUUUGUAUCUUAGAUCAAUUUGUUUGUAUCUUUAUAUUUUGAUUUUAUUUAUUUGUUUGUAUUCUUACUCGAGUGUCUAGAUCUCAUCAUUCAUAUUUAAUGUUCAAAAUUUGAAAUUCUAUAGGUGUCAAUACAAAUAUUUUAAUAUAUUAUAAGUUUCCUUUUUUAUGAGGUAAAAGUUCACUAAUCAUAGAUAAAAGUAACAUAUUAUAGGUUUACUUUUAAUCAUUUUUUAUUCCCCUAUUCAACUUUUAUAUAACUAAAAUUCAAACAUAUAAUCAUUAUUAUUGGAGUUUUGAAUUUAAUCCUGAAAUUUAUAAAUCUCAUUAAAAAUUAAAAGCCUAUUUGGCAAUUUAAAAAAAUAAAUUCUAUUUUCUAUAAUAAAAAACCAAAAAAAUAUAUUUGACAAUUAAAAACUAUUUUUUAUUUUCUGUUUUUAAGAUAUAGAGUGUUUUAAGAAAAUAUUUUUUUAGUUAUUUUUUGUUAUUUUCACUUGUUUUUUUAUGGUUACUUUGAAAAAUAAUUAUACAAACAUGUAAAAUGAUUAAAAAUAAAACACUAUAUAUAAAAAUUAUUUUUAAAACAUAUUUAAAAAUAUUAAAAAUGGGUUAAAAACAUUUUAAAUUUUCAAAUAAACUUUUAUUUUACAAAAUAUCAAAAAAUAGUUUUUAAUUUAUAUCUAAUAUUUCAAUGAAAUAUAAAAAAAAUAUCAUGUUGAUGAAAAACAUAAGUCAUAUAUAUUGAAGUACUUUGGAGACAAGUAUAGAAGUUAUAAGAGCAAGUUGAAAGCUAAAUACUAUGAGUCAUAUGAUACUACUAAGGAGAGACUGCAAUAUAAACCUCCAAAAGUAUCAAGAUGAUUGGAGAUAGUUUGUUCACUUUUGGAACUCUAGGAAGCAAUAGUAAGAUAAUUACAAAAUUGUUAUGUUUUAAUAAUUUAUUUACUAGCAUUUAUUUAGCUAACUUGUUAUUAUUAUUAUUAUUAUUUCAUAUUGCAAUAGAUGUUUAGGAAAGAUAUAGAAAAUAGGGUCAAACAAGUGAUUAGACAUACAUUUGGUUCUAAAAGUUAUGCUUUGAUACGAUAUGAUCAGAUUGAAAAUUUAGAAUCAUCAUAUCAUUUCUUGAUUCAUUAUUAAUGUUUUUGAAGUAACAAUUUUUAUUUUUAUUUUGGUUUUUCUUACAAUGAUAGGCACAAAUGAAGGAAGAUAAAAGUGGGUCUAAUAGAAUUGAAAUAUUUUUCCUUACUCAUAUAGGAAAGGAUGGGAUGUUAACAACUUUUUUUCUUUUAAAAAAUAUAUAAAUCCCUAUGAAAUAUAUAUAAUUACAGGCUCAAUUCAAGCAAGUGUCAUCUCAAUAUGAUAAGGAAUCUUUGCUAUCCACCAAAAUAAUUUUAGUUCAUUAAUUUGCACUAAAAUCUUAUUAUUUUGUAAUUUUGGCCUGGUUUUAUUGUUUUAUACCUUCUUAUUGUUACACACCCUUAUUCUUAUUGUUACACACGUUUUUCCUUUGUCUUUGUACUUUAAUUUUAUGUUUUAAUAUCUUAAUUUUGUUUUAUUAUACCAUCAUCUCAUAUGAUUGUGCUCUCAUCUAUUCCAUGUCUCAAGUUUUGACUUAAUUAAAUUAGAGUAGUUUCAAUUUAAAAAAAUAAAAAAACAUGUCUAUAUAUUUUAUAUAUGUCAAUUACGUUCUUAAUAUUUACAUCAUAUUUUUCGCAUUUUAAUACCCUAAUAAUUAUUUUUUGUUUCUCGGUCAUAUUUUUCUCCAUCCAAACCCAUUGGAAAUGAGAUGCGCCUCCCUAUAAAUUGUAACCAAAAUCCAUGAUUCCAUGGUGAUAAAGCAACCAAGAAAAAGGGAAAAUGGCAAUGGCCAGGAGCCCAAAAUUGCAUAUAGCCAUGUACCCAUGGUUUGCUUUUGGUCAUAUGAUUCCCUACCUCCAUCUCUCCAACGAGCUCGCUGAAAGAGGCCACAGCAUCACCUUCAUCUUGCCCAAAAAGGUUCAAUCUCAGCUACAGCACUUGAAUCUUCAUCCUACUCUCAUCUCUUUCCAUCCCCUCACCAUCCCCCAUGUUGAUGGCCUCCCUCCCAGCGCUGAAACUGCUUCCGAUGUGCCCAUCUCCUUGCAUCACCUUCUCGCCGCCGCCAUGGACCGCACCACUAGACUGACCAAGUUGAAGCAGCCCUACGUGCCUUGAAGCCGGACUUUUUGUUCUAUGAUGCGGCCUAUUGGGCUCCCCCUUUGGCAUCCAAAUUAGGUAUGAAGUCAAUAUUCUACAGUGCAGUUUCUGCAUCAGCCUUUUCCUACUGCCUUGUCCUGGAUCAACAAAUUAGCAAAAGCCGGCCAAUUCCAACUGGGCCUCCUCCUGGUUACCCCUCCUCAACGGUGGUGCUCCGCCCCCAUGAAGCUCGUUUGCUUCAAUUCUUGUUAUUUCCAUUUGGGGAAGACAUCACCUUCCACGAGCGCCUCACCGCCGCCAUCAAACUCUGUGAUGUAGUCUCUAUAAGAACAUGCCAAGAAAUCGAAGGACCAUUUUGUGACUACAUAGAAAGACGGUUUGGAAAACCAGUGUUUGUAACGGGCCCCGUUUUGGUUGAACCUUCACCGUUGGCACCGGAGGACAGGUGGGCUCAGUGGCUAAGUGGGUUCAAGCCUGGUUCAGUAAUCUUCUGUGCAUUUGGGAGCCAAAAUUUCCCCGGAAAGGACCAGUUCCAAGAAUUACUCCUGGGGUUUGAGCUAACAGGCCUGCCGUUCCUAGCAGCUCUAAAACCACCAUUAGGAGCUGCAACCAUUGAAGAGGCCUUGCCGGAGGGGUUCCAAGAGAGGGUUGGAGGGAGAGGAGUGGUUUAUGGAGGGUGGGUGCCGCAGCCCUCAAUCCUGAGCCAUCCAUCAGUGGGGUGUUUUGUGAGCCACUGUGGCUUUGGAUCAAUGUGGGAGUCCUUGAUGAGUGACCCCCAGAUAGUGCUGGUACCAGAGCUUUUUGACCAAACCUUCAACGCUAGGCUAUUGGCUGAAGAGCUUAAGGUUGCAGUGGAGGUUGAGAAGGAAGAAAAUGGGUGGGUUUCAAAGGAGGGUUUGUGCAAAGCAAUUAAGUCAGUAAUGGAUGAAGAGGGUGAGGUGGGUUGUUUGGUGAAGAAGAAUCAUGCAAAGUGGAAAGAGACCCUGAUGAGCCAAGGCUUUAUGAGCAAUUACAUUGAUAAUUUUGUUCGCCAACUUUUAGAUCUCAAGUGAUUUCUAGAGAUGGAAAUGGCAGUGUUUAUUGAAAAAUGUUUUAGCAUCUUUAUUGUGCAGAGCCAUUUCAAUCUCUAAAGAUAACUAGACUAAGCAGUGUAGGGAAAGAAUCCUUGAGAUUGUGCCCUACACUUUGUAAUAUUUGAAUGCUAUGACUUUGUGAAUUUUUUUUGCUACGGUUGAUUCACUAUUCUAAUCAAUUUAUAUUUAUAUUAAAUAAAAUAAAACUACCUAUUAUCAAAUUUAUUAGUUUAAAAAGGUGUGAAUCAAUUAAUUUUUUGAAUUCAAUCAAUUGAUAUUUAUAUUAAAUAAAAUAAAACUACAUAUUAUCAAAUUUAUUAGUUUAAAAAGGUGUGAAUCAAUUAAUUUUUUGAAAAAAAAUUGAUCGAAUUGACAUAUUUAAUUCAUACUUAAACAAAAACCCAAAUCGAUCUUCUAAUGACGAAGAAAAAUCAAAUCAAACCAAAUUUAUUUAAGAUUGAUUUAAUUUAAUUUAAAUAAUCAUAGUAAACGUUAAGUUUAUUUUAUUUUCAAAAUUAAUUAAAAUUACAUUUGUUUUAAAAUAUUGGUUUAAUCUAACUUUUAUUGAUGAGAGAGAUCAAAAAGCGAAUCGAUCUGCUCCAAGAUUUUUGAAACCUAAUCCACCUAUCUUCGUUGAAAAUCAAAUCUAUUUGAUCGAUUUGGAGGAAUUAAAUUAAUUUGAUUGAUUAUUUUAUUUUUUAAAAUUUUUUAUUGCACCUUUUUCAAAUCUUUGAGCUUGGUUACUUUUGUUAUAUAUAUAUUUAUGUACCAAAUAUAUGUCAAAUAGAUGGUCAUGAGAGAAGUGAUUAGAUAGUUUAUAUUGUAUUAUAUUACCUAUAUAGUGAUCAAUGAAAAGAUUUGCAAUAACUAUAGGUCUUGAGAAAAAUCUUUUCCUCGCCGACUCAUUUUCCACAUCUUUAAAUCACUUUCAUCAACUUGCACAAAUCAUUUAUUUAUACAAUGAAAAAUAAUUUAUUAAAAAUUCAUCACCAAUCUUACAAUAUAUCCUUUCUAAUUGGGGAGUAGAGUUCUUUCAAACUUUAAAACGCAUAUAAAUGGUUAUAUAUAUUAUUAUGAAAUAACAAAAAUAAAUAAUAAAUAAUAAAUAAUAAAUAAUUAAAUAUGAUAAGAAGAUAUUGAUUUACAUGGAAAACGUUAAAAGGGAAAAACUAGGUGUAAAGGAUAUAGAAAUCCACUAUGUUAAAAAUUAAUAUAAGAGAAGAGAGAUGCAAAUAGUUACUGCAUAGUUAUAAUCAUCAAGACAUUUUUAAUAUAAAUUUAAUUUUUUCGAUAAGUGACUAAUAUAAAAAUUAUAAAAAAUGUAUCUUCAAAAGACAUAUUUAGUAUAAAUUCGAUUUUGUGGAAUUGUAGAGAUGCAUUCAAUGUAAAUUUAAUUUUAUUUAUUUUUUAUUGUGUGACUGAUAUGAAAAUAUGGAAGAUGUCUUUUUAAAAGACAUCUUUAGUAUAAAUAUGAUUUUAUGGUAUUAUAGAAAAAAAUAUUUCUUUAGUAUAAAUUCAAUUUUUUUUAACGUAUAUGAUUAAUAAAAAAAUUAUAAAAAAGUAUCUUUUGAAAAGACAUUUUUAUUAUAAAUUCAAUUUUAUAAAAUUAUGGAAUAUAUCUCUUGAAAAAACAACUUUAGUGUAAAUUCAAAAUUUUUUUUUAAACAUAUAUCAUUGAUAUGAAAAAUAUGAAAGAUGUCUCUUUAACAAAUACUUUUCAAAGUGAUCAAAAUUACAAAGAUUUAUCAAUAAUUUUUUAAUUACAAUAUUUAUAAAUAAAAAAAAUUAAAGUGCCAAUUUUUAAGAAUCAUUUUUUAAAAUAGCUGUACAAGUUAAAAAAAAAAAAAAAAAAGAAGCCGAUAGAGAUAAGUGGAUAAGGCCUAUGGUACCACAAAAAUAGAAGAACGGUAGUUGACAUUUGUGUGUUCAAAAAAUUGUGGCUCACAAGACAAUCAUCAUCACGAGCUAGUGGCAGUGGCAGUGGCCCUUCCAUUAUUGGGAAUAUCUAAUAAUUUGUCAUCUCAUGUCAUGUCAUGUGAUGUGACAGAAAGGAACCAUGGAAUGAAUAAAUAAUGCAUCUAAAUAUUUGCAUGAACACGGCUAAAAGUUCAUUAUUUAGGUGGGUCGUGUGUUUUUUGGUGCGUAUCGAGAAGACACUAUUUAAUUAAGCGGUGCCAAUUAUACAUUUUGAAGUAUCAUUUCUUUACUCUAAUCCAAUAUGUUUUCUUUUAGAUAUCAAAAUGUGAUGUAAGAAUAUAAACAAACACAUAAUAAGUUUUUAUGACAUCAAAUUACAAAUAAAUGAAUUAUCAAUUAUUACUAAAAAGUACUCUCUUCAACUCUUCAACCCUUCCCCGGGGGAUGUUUCUAUAAAUUGAAACCAAACUCCCAGUACACCUAAACCCAUUCCUCCAUCCAAUUUCAGUUUGUAUUAAAAAAAGGGGGUCAUGGCCAAGAGCCCGAAAUUGCAUAUAGCCAUGUUCCCAUGGUUUGCUUUCGGCCAUAUGAUUCCUUACCUCAAUCUCUCCAACGAGCUUGCUGGAAGAGGCCACAAGAUCACCUUCAUUUUGCCCAGAAAGGCUCAAUCUAAGCUACAACACUUGAAUUUUCAUCCGGCUCUCAUCACUUUCCAUCCCCUCAUCGUCCCUCAUGUCGAUGGCCUUCCUCCGGGGACUGAAACUGCCUCUGAUAUCCCCGUUUCCUUGACUUACCUUCUCGCCACUGCCCUGGACCGCACCAGGGACCAAGUUGAAGCAGCUCUACGUACUUUGAAUCCUCAUCUUUUGUUCUACGAUUUUGCCUAUUGGGCACCUGCUUUGGCAUCCCAACUAGGGAUUAAGUCCAUAUACUACAGUGCAGUUUGUGCAGCAGCCGUUGCCCACAUACCUAUCCCAGCUCAACAAGGUAGCAAAGACUGCAGGCAAUUGACAGAUGUGCCGCCCCCUGGUUACCCCUCCUCAACGGUUGUGCUCCGCCCACAUGAGGCUCGGUUGAUGGACUUCAUGUUUGCACCAUAUGGAGAAGGCAUCACCUUCCAGCAGCGCGUCACCACUGCCCGGGCACGCGGUGAUGCAAUCUCUAUAAGAACAUGUCAAGAAACCGAUGGACCCAUUUGUGACUACAUUGGAAGCCAGUAUGGAAAACCAGUGUUCCUAACUGGCCCAGUACUACCCAAACCUUCAGUGGAGCCAUUGGAGGAUCGGUGGGCGCAGUGGCUGGGUGGGUUCAAGCCUGGUUCAGUUAUAUUCUGUGCAUUUGGAAGCCAAAAUGUCCAUGAAAAGGACCAGUUCCAAGAACUACUCCUGGGGUUAGAGCUAACAGGCCUGCCAUUCUUCGCAGCUGUAAAACCACGGACAGGAGUUGCCACCAUUGAAGAGGCCUUACCCGAGGGGUUCCAAGAGAGGGUUGGAGGGAGGGGAUUGGUUCAUGGAGGGUGGUGGGUGCAGCAGCCGUCAGUACUGAGCCACCCAUCAGUGGGGUGUUUUGUGAGCCACUGUGGCUAUGGAUCAAUGUGGGAGUCCUUGACCAGCGACCCUCAAAUAGUGCUGGUACCGGAACUAGCUGAUCAAAUAUUGAACAGCAGGCUAUUGGCUGAAGAGCUUAAAGUUGCAGUGGAGGUUGAGAGGGAAGAAAAUGGGUUGUUUUCAAAGGAAAGCUUGUGCGAUGCCAUUAAAUCGGUGAUGGAUGAAAACAGUGAGGUGGGUGGUCUGGUGAAGAAGAACCAUGCUAAGUGGAAGGUGAUGAGAAUUCAAUUGCAUAGAAUACAUGUUGACAAUUAAGCAUGCAUUUAAUAGCAAAAUUCAGUCCGUUACCUUGGUUCAUGCUUUGAGAAGUCAUUUCUACUCCCUUUGAUAUCCAAUAAUCUGCUUUCCGGGUGCGUGAUGGUCCGAGAAUGAGCGAUCAAUGAACUCUUCCCUUGUCUCCCAAAAUUCAGUCCAAAGUGGAGUGUGUGAGUGUGUUUGCCGGGAGAGCUCUCAAAGAAAAGAAAGGAUGCUCAAUCGAAAAAUGCAAACACAUCUCUAUAUAUAUAUAUAUAUAUACAAAUAAAUAAAUAAAUAAAUAAAUAUAUAUAUAUAUAUAUAUAUAUAUAUAUAUAUAUAUAUAUAUAUAUAUUGCACAUUACACACUUUAGUUGGAUGACUUGACUUAAUGGGCCAGUCAAGUGAAUUAGGGUGAGCCCAUAAAAAAUCAAGCAACAAUAUGUAUCCAGUCCCAUUAUGGACCACAAUGCAAAAAUAAAUUAAUACUGAUUUAUGAUAUUAUCAAAUUAAUUAUGUAAGUCCACACAUAAAAAUUCCAACAAUUCUCCCACUUGGACUACAUAAUCAAACAUCACAACAUAUACAUAAUCAUAAAUCAAUGUCCCAUAGAAUCUCAUCAGAAAUAAAUAAUCAAAAGCAAUCAUAUAUGUUUCAUUGCUUGAUUCAUAGGGAAAUGUACAAUAAUAGCAAUCCUUUCAACAAUAACAUAGUAUUACAAUACCAAAAAAUGGCUCCCACUAACUUAAUACAACCUAGGCUUCCAACAACCCCAUUUGAGAUACAUGUUCCUGAAACGCAAUUAUGGGUAAGCCUUUUGUUAAUGGAUCCGCCAACAUACUUUUUUUGGACAUGUGUUCAAUAUCAAUAAGAGACUCUGCCACUUUCUCCUUAACAAAAUAGAACUUUACAUCAAUAUGUUUGGAGCGAGAAAUACUCCUAGUGUUCUUGGAGAAAGCAACAGCUGCGGAAUUAUCACAAAAUAAUUUCAGCGGUCUAGAAAUGGAGUCAACAACUCCUAAAGCUGAAACAAAAUUCCGCAUCCACAUAGCAUGACAAUAAGCCUCAUAACAUGCCACAUACUCUGCCUCCAUAGUUGAGGAUGCUGUAAGUGUCUGCUUGACACUUUUCCAAGAUACAGCUCCUCCUGCCAUCAUAAAAAUAUAGCCCGUAGUGGAUUUCUUAUCAUCUAUGCAGCCAGCAAAAUCAGCAUCACAAAACCCAACUACAUCAAGUAAGCUGGUGCGCUGAUAUGUCAACAUUAAGUCCUUAGUUCCUUGCAAAUACCUAAGGACCUUCUUAGCUGCUUUCCAAUGUUGACUCCCAGGAUUGCUCAAGUACCUUCCCAACAUGCCCACAACAAAAGCAAUAUCAGGGCGUGUACAUACUUGAGCAUACAUAAGGCUGCCCACCACAGAUGAAUAAGGAAUGGUCUUCAUUUCCUCUCUCUCAUCAUCAUUUUGAGGACACUGAGCCUUUGAAAAUUUAUCACCCUUCACAAUUGGCGCUUUAGUAGAUUUACAGUUGUGCAUAUUGAACCUCUUCAAUAUCCUUUCAAUAUAUGCUCUUUGAGACAAUUUAAGCACUCCAUUAGCCCUAUCACGAAGAAUCUUUAUGCCCAAGACAUAAGAAGCCUCACCAAGAUCCUUCAUGUCAAAAUGGGUUGACAACAUGUGCUUUGUCUCAAUCAACAAGUCAGGAUCAUUUGAUGCGAGUAGUAUAUCAUCAACAUAUAAAACAAGAAAUAUGUAACUACUCCCACUGACCCUCAAAUAUAUGCAUCUGUCAACUGUAUUUUCUUUAAAGCCAUUUUGGGUGAUAAUCUUAUCAAACUUCAGAUACCACUGCCUCGAAGCCUAUUUAAGACCAUAAAUGGACUUAUUGAGCUUGCAAACUAAAUCUUCCUUUCCAACUUCUACAAAACCAAUAGGUUGCUCCAUAUACACCUCCUCAUCCAAAUCACCAUUCAAGAAAGCUGUCUUGACAUCCAUCUGAUGUAGCUCCAAGUCAAAAUGAGCUACUAUGGCCAUAAUCAUUCUAAAAGAGUCCUUGGUCGACACAGGUGAGAAGGUUUCUUUGAAAUCAAUUCCUUCUCUUUGACUAUAACAUUUAACCACAAGUCUAGCUUUAUAUCUCUCUAUUUUCCCACUAGAAUCACGUUUGGUCUUAAAGACCCACUUGCACCCAACUGGUUUACAACCAUGAGGCAAUUCAACCAAGUCCCAAACACCAUUCAUAUACAUAGAAUUCAUUUCAUCAUCCAUGGCUUCUUUCCAAGAUAUGAAUUGAGGACAAUGAAUUGCUUCUUGGUAAGUGACUGGAUCAAAAGCAUCAUAACUAUCAUACUCAUGCUCCUGCAAAUAAACCAUAUAAUCAUCUGAAAUAGCCGACCUACGAACCCUCUGUGAUCUUCUCAAAGGAACCUCAUUAACAACUGUAUCAUCUACAGGAAGGUCGGAUUCCACUUGAUCACCAUGCUCUCCUUGAUUAGUGGUUGGCUGUUGGACAAUAGGAACAUCCAUAUUUAGAACAUGAGAUGUAGGAAAAUGAAUCACAACAUGCUCUUCUCCAAAAGGUAUCUCACGAGGCAUAAAAUUUGGAUCAACAUUAACUUCAUCCUCAAAAUAUACAGCCCUGUCUGAUUCAAUGAUCCUGGUGGUAUGAGAUGGACAAUAGAAUCUGGAACCCCUUGAUCCAAUGCAAUAGCCAACAAAGAAACCACUAAUGGUUUUAGGAUCAAGUUUCUUUGACUGUGGGUUAUAGGCCCUAACCUCAGCCUUACAUCCCCAAACAUGGAAAUGGUGAAGGCCGGGUUUCUUUCCUGACCAUAGCUCAUAAGGUGUCUUAGGCACAGACUUACUGGGCACUUGAUUCAAAAUAUAUGCCAUAGUCCUUAAGGCUUCACCCCAUAGAAAUUCUGGUAAAGAGGAAUUGGACAACAUGCACCUCACCAUAUCUAACAAUGUGCGAUUCCUCCUUUCUGCAACCCCAUUCUGUUGAGGAGUGCCUGGCAAUGUAUAUUUCGCAUCAAUGCCACAUUCCAACAGAAACUUAGCAAAUGGUCCAGGAUUCCGUCCAGUCUCAUCAUAUCUCCCAUAAUACUCGCCACCUCUAUCAGACUUCACAGCUUUAAUGGGCUUUCCCAACUGCAACUCCACCUUAGCCUUAAAGGCUUUGAACACAUUCAGUGAGUCAGAUUUCUCAUGGAUUAGUUCAACAUAACCAAAUCUAGAGAAAUCAUCAAUAAAAGUGAUGAAAUAUUUAUAACCCCCUAAAGCAGUUGGUGACAAAGGACCACAUAUAUCUGUGUGGAUCAAGUCUAAAGUACUUCCACACCUAUCAAUCUUCUCCUUUCUGGUCUUUGCUGUCAUCUUCCCCUUUAGGCAAACAACACAAGUUUCGAAGUCUGAGAAAUCAAGAUUAGAAAGCACACCAUCUUUCACCAAUCUCUCUAAUCUUUGCCUAGAAAUAUGACCUAGGCGUUUGUGCCACAACAUGGAAGAACUCAAAUUCAUUCUAGCACGCUUGCAACCAACAACAGAAUUAACAGAGGAUGAAUCACAUAAUAAACCAUGAUGCAAACUGAGACUAUAAAGAUUUCCAAACAAAACACCAUUGCCAAUUAAGACUGAGUUGCAAAAAAUAUCCACUUUUCCACCUCCAAAGUGAAAAGAAUAACCAUGUCUAUCCAAAGAAGAUACAGAAAUCAGAUUCCUCCUAAGUGAGGGUAUAAAAGCCACAAUGUGUAACAACAAAAAACUUUCUGUGAUCAACUUCAGCUUUAUCAUGCCAAAAAAAUCCACUUUCACUUUGCUUUCGUCACCCAUAUACACACAUUCUUCAUGCUUUGACAGCUUCCUUCUGUUUGUCAUCUCCUACAAAGAAUUAGUGACAUGAAUAGUGGCACCAGUAUCUAACCACCAAGAAUUGGCAUGAACAUCAACAAUAUUUGUCUCAAUCAUGUUUGCAUUCAAAUUAACCACAACCACAAUUUCACCUUUCUUUUUCUUCUCUAGCCAAUUUUUAAAUUUGAAGCAAUCAACUUGCUUGUGGCCAAUCUUAUGGCAAAAGUUGCACUUCCCCUUGAAUUUCUCACUCUUUGCAGCAUUAGAAGAAACAGAUGUGUUGGAGGUUCCUUGAUUUGAAUUCCCUUUCCUCUUGAACUGCUUAGAGCCUCCAAAAUUCUUGUGUGGAGGUUUUUUCAUCACAUUACUGGCUUGAUUUGUUACAAGAGCAAGGGAGUGAGUCUCAUUUUUCUUCAGUGAGACUUCAUGUUGCACUACAAUGGACAUCAACUCCUCCAGAGUCCAUUCUUCCUUCAAGGCAUUGUAAGUCAACUUCACUGCAUCAAAGGAAACAGGAAGAGACUCCAGUAUCAACCAUUUCAGAAAUUUUUCACCCAACUCCACUUUCAUCUCAUUUGCCUUGUUGAAGUAGUGCCUUAGCUUGAUGAUAUGAUCCCUAACCCCACUAACUCCAUCAUAUACAGUAGUUGUGAGAAGCUUCAAAUGAGUUGCCAUUUCAGCCUUAUCAACUUUGGUAUAAUUGGCCUUCACAUAUUCCAAGAAGUCUUUGGCCCUUUCCGUCUUUGGCCCGCAUUCUUUGAUAGAUUUAUCCAUAGUGUAUUUCAUCACCAUCAAACAACUCCUGUUGGAGUGCUCCCAUCUUUCAUAAAAUAAUCUUUCAUCUGCAGAGCUCACAUUAGUGAGCUUACUUGGCUCAUCAACCCUCAAAGCCAAGUCCAGAUUUUGCAGAGUCAUAUGCACGUUAAAGGACUCAAACCAUUCUUCAAAAUUAUUUCCAGUAAGAGGUUUGAUGGCAGACAAUUGAAGAGAAAUACCAGGAUUGCUGGUAGCUGGAAAAUAGCAAAAUUCAACAGUAUGCAUGUUAUUACAAUAUCAUGCAUUUGCUAAUUUCCAUAAUUUCUCAAUUUAGCAAUAGCUUGGAAUUUUAAAAAUUCCACAGCGGUAAGGACAACUAAUUAAAUAUUACAACCAAGAUGUACUAAUUUUAUUACCGAAAGGGCAAAAAAAAUUAGUACGGUUGAUAAUAUACAAUUAAUUUCCUUCACCAAUCUAAGCAUCCUACCAAGCAUUGUUAUCAUCGAUAGGACAAUUACAAUACACGUAUGGAUCUUAGUAAUCACAAUAAUAAAACGAUUAAAUGUGGGAGUUAAAUUAUCUCAGCAAAGACAAUUUGACACAUAUAGGGUCACGAUAGGCAACCACAUAUAUGUUCACAAUUGUCAUGAAUAAAAUUCAAAAUGUCUUAAUUUUCACAAUUUGACACACUUGGAAUUGCGAUAGGCAAUCACACAAGUGUGCUUCAUUACCUCAAUAAAUUGAAAUAUUUAACAAAAUUGACAUAGGACAACAUUAUCGAUAUAAGGAAAAAUUAUACCAUAAAGAACAAUAAUAAUAAUAAUUGUCCCAAUAAAGUCAAAUUUAACAAAUGCAUAAUAAUUCUAGCAUAUGCACAAUCAAUCCAAGAAUACCAAGGCAACAAACAAACAAACAAAAAAAAGUUUUUUUAUGACGUCAUGAUGACGUCAUCACAUCACUAUUCAUCUUCUCCUCCAGCUGAGCACGGCCUGGUUCUGGAGAAGAAAAAAUAUAUAUUUCCGUCCAAAAUUUCACGCAUUUUUCGUCAAAAAUACAUAGAUUUCCAUCCUCAAACAUCAAUUUUUCAAUCCAAACCCAAAAAAUUGCACAAAAAACGGACAAUAGCAAGAACCAAACAAGCCCUAAUUUUCGAAAUAUCAUCAAAUGAGCUCCAAAAAUCACAAAAUUUGAUGGGUUUUGCUCCAAACAAUAUUCUCUACAAGUUUACAACAACAAUCGGGCUUGAAAACAGAGAAUCAACAUCAAACGAGAAAUAAAAUUCCAAAAAAAUUGCUUCCACAACAGGAAACGGGAAACCAAAAAAUUAACCGAAAAUUGCAGCUCAAAUGUCAAUCAUGCUUGCUCUGAUACCAAUUGAUGAGAAUUCAAUUGCAUAGAAUCACAUGUUGACAAUUAAGCAUGCAUUUAAUAGCAAAAUUCAGUCCGUUACCUUGGUUCAUGCUUUGAGAAGCCAUUUCUACUCCCUUUGAUAUCCAAUAAUCUGCUUUUCGGGUGCGUGAUGGUCCGAGAAUGAGCGAUCAAUGAACUCUUCCCUUGUCUCCCAAAAUUCAGUCCAAAGUGGAGUGUGUGAGUGUGUUUGCCGGGAGAGCUCUCAAAGAGAAGAAAGGAUGUUCAACCGAAAAAUCCAAACACAUCUCUAUAUAUAUAUAUAUACAAAUAAAUAUAUAUAUAUAUAUAUUGCACAUUACACACUUUAGUUGGAUGACUUGACUUAAUGGGUCAGUCAAGUGAAUUAGGGUGAGCCCAUAAAAAAUCAAGCAACAAUAUAUGUCCAAUCCCAUUAUGGACCACAAUGCAAAAAUAAAUUAACACUGAUUUAUGAUAUUAUCAAAUUAAUUAUGUAAGUCCACACAUAAAAAUUCCAACAGAAGGAGGCCUUGACGAGCCAAAGCUUUUUGAGCAAUUAUGUUGACAAUUUUGUUGGGCAAUUGCAAGGACUUUUGGAUCAUAAAUGAUUUCCCCUGGAGAUGGAAAUGUUUUAGCAUCUAUCAUUUUCUGUAAUGUUGUUUAUCUGGUCAAUGAACGAAAGAGGAGAGAGAUUUAAAAAUGUACAUCUCAUACCACCUAAUGAGUUUUGUGCUAAAAUAACUCAAUUCAUGUCAAGAAAUAUAAGUUUUAACUCCAUUUCAAAACUUAUAUUCAAAUUAGUCUCUUUCUUCCACAUAGGAAUGGCAUUAUAAUUUUUAUUUUCUUUUCAAAAUUUAAGUUGAAGUCUUUCGAUUAUUAAUUGAGACUUCAUUUUUUAACUAAACCCUUAAUUAGCAAUUGAGUCUUCAGUUUUUUUUUUUUAACUUUUAAAUUUAAUUAAAAAUAUUAAAUUUCAUAUUAUUAUUGAAAUAAAUAUAUCCUUUAAUAAUAAUAAUUUAUAUAUUUAAAAUUAAAGAUCUAAUAUUACUUCAAUAAAGAUAAAUUGAUAAAUAUAAUAAUAAAUGAAUAUUUUAUUUAUCAAUAAAUUAAUAAUCUUAAAAUAAUAAGAUAUAUGACAUAUAAAUAAGAUAUAAAAUUAUAUAAUUUAUUAAUUUAAGAUAUUUAAUUUGUUGUAUUUUUAAGAUAUUAAUUUAUUUGUAUUUUGACAAAUUUAUUUUUAUUGAAAUAAUAGUAUAUUCUUAAGUUUCCGUAUAUAGAUUUUUUAUUAUUUUAAAGCAUAUAUUUAUAAUUUAACAUAAAAUAAAAUAAAAUAAAAUAAAGGCUACUAUUUUUACACAAUAUAUAUACCUUGAAUAUACAUUUUGAAAUUAGUUAAUGAAAUUAAUUAGAAAAAAUCUACUAAAAAAUAUAAUUUUUAAUAGUUUUAUCAAAGUCACACAAAAUUACCCAUUAAACAUUUAUAUAGUGAAAAAACAAAAAUCUCUCCUCCGUAAUUAUAGCAAGUAUUACAUAUGAUAUAACUUAAAUUAAUAAAUUAUAUAAUUUUAUAUUUUAAAAAUACAAUAAAUUAAAUAUCUUAAAUUAAUAAAUUAUAUAAUUUCAUAUAACUUUAUUAUUUUAAGAUUAUUAAUUUAUUGAUAAAUAAAAUAUUUAUUUAUAUUAUAUUUAUUAAUUUAUCUUUAUUGAAGUAAUAUGAGAUUUUUAUGCUUAAAUAUAUUAAUUUUUAUUAUUAAAGUAUAUAUUUUUAAUUUCCAUAAUAAUUUGUAAUUUAAUAUUUUAAAUUAAAUUUUGAAGUAAAACAAAAAAAAUUAAAGACUCAAUUCCUAAUUGAGACUUUAGUUUAAAGUCAUGAAGUGUGAAGAAAGUGUAGAGAUGAUUUUCCAUUUUUUUUAUAAAAAAAGGAAAAAAAUGUUGUAGAAAAGCAUAUUUCUAAGUAAUAAAGAUAGUAGUUUUUCAAAUAAGAGUGUGUUUGGAAAUAAUUUUAGAAAGUAUUUUUAAUAUUUUUAACAUUUGAAUGAUAAAAAUUUUUAAGUAUUAGAAAUAUUAAAAGUACUUUCUAGAAUCACUACCAAACGGGCUCUUAAAGUAAGUUUGGUAAUGAUUUUAGGAAAUGUUUUUAACUUUUUUAAUACUUGAAAGAUAAAAAUUUUCAAGUAUUACAAAGACUAGAAAUACUUCUUAAAAUCAUUGUCAAAUACACUCUAAAAUACCUUCCCAAUAUCACCUACAAACUAAAGGUGAGGACUAUAAAACUUCUUCUAUAUCGAUAUUUUUCCUUGAAAUUCAAUAAAAUAAAAUUACAGAAAAAAUAUUUAUAAAUAUUUUAUAUUAUAAAAUGAAAUUGCAAUAUACAAUGAUGAAAGAAGACCUACCACCCUCUUGUGGUAAGUGGCAUGAGGUGAGGCUGUGGAAUCGACUACCUUGUGAUAAUCAUGUCACUAAUAAAAAGGGAAAGAAAAAGGAAAUCUAAUAAAAAUAAUCUUAAAUUUAAUAAAUAUCUUUUAAAAGGAGAAGUUUGAAAACAUGUGAAAUAAUUCAAAAUAGAAAAUUAUUACUAUUUUUGCUACUAAGGCCAUGUUUGGUUUACAACUUUAGUUGGGAAUUGGAGGGAAGUCUAAUGGGUUCAAGGAAAAGGAAGAGAGUAAUAUAUAUAUAUAUAUAUAUAUAUAUAUAUAUAUAUAUAUUACAACUUUAGUUAAGAAUUGGAGGGAAGUCUAAUGGGUUCAAGGAAAAGGAAGAGAGUAAUAUAUAUAUAUAUAUAUAUAUAUAUAUAUAUAUAUAUAUAUACCCAAAAAAUGUGUGUUGAAUUUGUUUGUAUAUUUUCAGUCAAUGGUCAAUAGACCUCAGAAGCAAAGAGUGAGACUUGGUGAGCAGGCCUAUCCACACAAAUUAUUAUACCGCAUGAAUGCCAAACCUCUAAAUUGCACCGUCUUCAUUCACCAGCCAUAGCCCAAGCCAAGUUACAGUGAAAAGACAGGGCCAUGGCCAAGACCCCAAAAUUUCAUGUAGUCAUGUUCCCAUGGUUUGCCUUUGCCAUAUGACUCCAUUCCUCCAUCUCUCCAACAAGCUUGUUGAGAGAAGCCACAAAAUCACAUUCAUGCUGCCCAAAAAGGCUCAAUCCCAACUACAAACCUUGAAUUUUCAUCCUACUCUCAUCUCUUUCAAUCCCCUAACCGUCCCCCAAGUUGAAGGACUUCCCCCAGGGGCCGAGACCACGGCCGUCAUCCCCAUUUUCUUGAACCACCUUCUCACCAUCGCCAUGGACCGCACUGCUGACCAAGUUGAAGCUGCCCUACGUGCCUUGAAUCCUGAUUUUUUUUUUUUCUUUAUGAUUUUGCAUAAUGGAUUCCUGAUUUGACAUCCAAACUAGGCAUUAAGUCCCUAUGCUACAAUACAGUUUGUGCACCAGCCAUUGCCCUCAACCUUGGCCCAGCUUGCAGUUAGCAGAGACAGGCCAAUCACAGCUGAGCCACCCCUGGUUACCCCCUCAAAAGGUGGUGUUCAGCCCCCAUGAAGCUCGGUUAUUGCACUUCAUAUCAGCAUCAUUUGGGAAACGUCUCACCUUCCACGAGUGCAUUAUCACUGCCAUGAAACACUGCAAUGCAAUCUCUAUAAGAAUAUGUCAAGAAAUUGAAGGACCCUUUUGUGACUAUGCUGCAAGUCAGUAUGCAAAGCCAGUGUUCCUAACAGGUCCAGUCUUGCCUGAGCCUUCACUGACACCAUUGGAAAGGUGGGCACAUUGAGAUAUAGUAUUAUUCCUAGGGAGAACAUAGAUAGUAUAGACUUGUUAACCUAAAUGCGCUUUUACUUGUUGGAUCAGGUUUUGACCAUCUCAUCUCAAAACCAAUUGGAGUCUAGUAAAGGUAGGUCAAACCUUUUAUAACAUUCAACAUCACCCCACGAGCCUAUUAUAAGAACCAUUAUUCAACAUCAUUUUAAGAGGGGCAUUGUUGUACCCCAACAUUAAUGAUAACAGAACUGCUGAAUGAAGAGGCAGCAGGCCCAUUUAUUAGAAAAAGUGGAGGAAGACCAAAGUUUCUAAACUAAAAUCAGGAGAACCAGAGAAAGACUUGAAGUCGGUCUUCUUUGGAGACAAGUAUAGAAGUUAUAAAAGCAAGUUGAAAGCUAAAUACUAUGAGUCAUAUGAUACUACUAAGGAGAGACUCCAACAUAAACCUCCAAAAAGUAUCACGAUGAUUGGAGAUAGUUUGUUCAUUUUUGGAACUCUGAGGAAGCAAUAGUAAGAUAAUUACAAAACUGUUAUGUUUUAAUAUUUUAUUUACUAGCAUUUAUUUAGCUAACUUGUUAUUAUUAUUAUUAUUAUUUCAUAUUGCAAGAGAUGUUUAGGAAAUUAAGAUAUAGAAAAUAGGGCCAAAAAAGUGAUUAGACGUACAUUUGGUUCUAAAAGUUAUGCUUUGAUACGAUGUGAUCAGAUUGAAAAUUUAGAAACAUCAUAUCGUUUCUUGAUUCAUUAUUAAUGUUUUUGAAGUAACAAUUUUUAUUUUUAUUUUGGUUUUUCUUACAAUGAAGGAAGAUAAAAGGACGGGAUGUUAACAACUUUUUUAAAAAAUUAUAUAUAUAUAUAUAUAUAUAUAUAUAUAUAUAUAGUUACAAGCUCAAUUCAAGCGUCAUCUCAAUAUGAUAAGGAAUCUUUGCUAUCCACUAAAAUAAUUUUAGUUCAUUAAUUUGCACCAAAAUCUUAUUAUUUUGUAAUUUUGGCAUGGUUUUAUUGUUUUAUACCUUAUUCUUAUUGUGACACACCUUCUUAUUCUUAUUGUUACACACUUAGGGCUUUUUUAACUUUUGUAGCAAUUUAAAAAAAUAAUUAUUAAAAAAUGGUAGUUGGGAAAAUAUUGAUAGAUCUAAAACAGUUUUGGCCACAUGAAAGGUAUCUUUUGAAGAGACACCUGAACUAAACAUAUUUCUUGAAGAGACACCUUCUACAAUUUUAGAAAAUUAGAUUUAUAUUAAAAGUGUCUCUUGAAAAGACAAUUUCCACGUGGCAAAAAAUUCAAUAUGCAUUAAAGAUGUCCUUCAAGAGACACCUUCCACAAUUUGACAAAUUUGAAUGUCUCGUGAUUUUAAAGUUAAAGAUGUCUCUUGAAGAGACACUUUCUACAAUUCUUAAAAAUUUUAAUUUAUACAAAAGGUAUCACUUAAAGAGACACUUUCCACAAUUCAACAAAUUCUGAUAUAUACUAAAAGUGUCUCUUGAAAAGACACUUUCCACAAUUCCAUAAAAUCCAAUAUGUAUUAAAAAUUGUGGAAAUGAUUUUAAAACUAAAUAUGUCUCUCUUCAACAUAAAUUCAAAAUUUUUCACAACAUCUCUUCAACAUAAAUUCGAAAUUUUCUAUUAUGGAAAAUUUUGAAUUUAUGUUGAAGAGAGACAUCUUUAGCUUUAAAAUCAUUUCCACAAUUUUUAAUACAUAUUGGAUUUUGUGGAAUUGUAGAAAGUGUCUUUUCAAGAAAGACAUCUUUAGUAUAAAUCCAAUUUUCUGAGAUUGUAGAAGGUGUCUCUUCAAGAGACACCUUUAGUAUAUAUUAGAAUUUUUGGAAUUGUGGAAAAUGUCUCUUCAAGUGACACAUUUUGUAUAAAUUAAAAUUUUUAUGAAUUGUAGAAGGUCAUGUCUCUUCAAGAGAUAUCUUUAGCUUUAAAAUCAUAAGACAUUCAAAUUUGUCAAAUUGUGGAAAGAGACACCUUUAAUGCAUAUUGGAUUUUUUGUCACGCGAAAAGUGUCUUUUCAAGAAACACCUUUAAUAUAAAUCCAAUUUUCUGGAAUUGUAGAAGGUGUCUCUUAAAGAGACGCCUUUAGCUUAAAUUCAAUUCUUUCAUGAUUUUGAAAAUUGUGGAAAGUGUCUCUUCUCUUCAAAAGACACCUUUCACGUGGUCAAAACUGUUGUAAAUCUAUCAAUAUUUUCCCAACUAUCAUUUUUUAAUAAUUAGUUUUUAAAAUUGUUGUAAAAGUUAAAAAAGCCCCACCUUAUUCCUUUGUCUUUGUACUUUAAUUUUAUGUUUUAAUAUCUUAAUUUUGUUUUAUUAUACCAUCAUCUCAUAUGAUUGUGCUCUCAUCUAUUCCAUGUCUCAAGUUUUAACUUAAUUAAAUUAGAGUAGUUUCAAUUUAAAAAAAUAAAAAAACACGUCUAUAUAUUUUAUAUAUGUCAAUUACGUUCUUAAUAUUUACACCAUAUUUUUCGCAUUUUAAUACCCUAAUAAUUAUUUUUUGUUUCUCGGUCAUAUUUUUCUCCACCCAAACCCAUUGGAAAUGAGAUGCGCCUCCCUAUAAAUUGUAACCAAAAUCCAUGAUUCCAUGGUGAUAAACCAACCAAGAAAAAGGGGAAAUGGCGAUGGUCAGGAGCCCAAAAUUGCAUAUAGCCAUGUACCCAUGGUUUGCUUUUGGUCAUAUGAUUCCCUACCUCCAUCUCUCCAACGAGCUCGUUGAAAGAGGCCACAGCAUCACCUUCAUCUUGCCCAAAAAGGUUCAAUCUCAGCUACAGCACUUGAAUCUUCAUCCUACUCUCAUCUCUUUCCAUCCCCUCACCAUCCUCCAUGUUGAUGGGCUCCCUCCCAGCGCUGAAACUGCUUCCGAUGUGCCCAUCUCCUUGCAUCACCUUCUCGCCGCCGCCAUGGACCGCACCACUGACCAAGUUGAAGCAGCCCUACGUGCCUUGAAGCCGGACUUUUUGUUCUAUGAUAUGGCCUAUUAGGCUCCCCCUUUGGCAUCCAAAUUAGGUAUGAAGUCAAUAUUCU
rnacentral:lncRNA from 1 species